rnacentral:misc_RNA from 1 species
AUACAGUUUGUAUUUGGUUUAUUUCUACGGGGAGUGUCACCAUGCAUUUUCAUAUGCUUUCCUGUCUCAGUAGGCUUCUUCAUUGGACAGGUUUAUGGAAGAAUGUUAGGAAAUAAAUCUCUCUUGGGGGGUUGGGGCAGCUCGUGGGGGGGAUGGGCAAUUGGAAUUUUUGUGGUUGUGUUUCAUUAAAAACGAGUGAGAUUGUUGGCUAAACCUUGGUGUGGAAAUUCUUGUCCUAGAAGCCAGUUUAUAAGGCUCUUGUUUUGUCAGCUCAAAAUGGUGAUGAGCUUGUGAGUAAACGUUUUAUUUAUUUAUUUUUGUUCAAUUGUUUUAAUGUAACAAGGGAACAUUUUAGAAGGGAUGGAAGAGAGGAGAGGAAUUUUGUGGAUCUUGAUAUACGGGUCUCUUCUGAAGUUGGGGAAGUGGAUAAAUUUGGAUGGUGUCGAUAAAGAGAGAUGAAAUUCAGUGUUAUAAAAUAUCUCCAGAAGACUGUAUUCUCAUUUAUAAAUUAUCUUUGAAAACAUCCAUACUUUGAGAACUGAAAAAUAAAACUAAUUUAGAAUAAUUUAAUCUAUCAAAAAUUCGAUUGGCAUCCAAAUAAAAUACAAUCUAAUUCAUUUUGCUGUGAAAGAAAAUAUUAUGCAAUAAAAUUGGAAAGACAUGUUACAUCAGUAUAUAUCUGUGGUAACCAUCUAUAAAGAUGGAAAAAAUCCCAAGUAUACAUGUCACCUGACGUGACGAAUGAUGAAUAAACUCAUGGUUCAUAAUGUACUUUGGAAAAUGAUUUGGAAACAAUGUGCAUUUGCAUUCUGCAGUUUUCUGAGAGUGGAACUGUCCUUGAUGUACAUCAUCAUGCUUGAGUGCUUAUAUUAACAAUCUGUCUUAUGCAGGGUGUUUUGAAGGUCA